CAGCCGCCGCGGUAAUACGUAGGGUGCGAGCGUUAAUCGGAAUUACUGGGCGUAAAGCGUGCGCAGGCGGUUGUGUAAGACAGGUGUGAAAUCCCCGGGCUUAACCUGGGAACUGCGCUUGUGACUGCACAGCUAGAGUAUGGCAGAGGGGGGCGGAAUUCCACGUGAAGCAGUGAAAUGCGUAGAGAUGUGGAGGAACACCGAUGGCGAAGGCAGCCCCCUGGGCCAAUACUGACGCUCAUGCACGAAAGCGUGGGGAGCAAACAGGAUUAGAUACCCCUGUAGUCCCUGUCUCUUAUAC
rnacentral:rRNA from 1 species